rnacentral:rRNA from 1 species
GACGAACGCUGGCGGCGUGCCUAAUACAUGCAAGUAGAACGCUGAAGGAGGAGCUUGCUUCUUUGGAUGAUUUCCGAACGGGUGAGCAACGCGUAGGUAACCUGCCUGGUAGCGGGGGAUAACUCUUGGAAACGAUAGCUAAUACCGCAUAAUAUUGACUAUUGCAUGUUAGUCAGUUGAAAGGUGCAACUGCACCACUACCAGAUGGUCCUGCGCUGUAUUAGCAAGUUGGUGGGGUAAAGGCUCACCAAGGCGACGAUACAUAGCCGACCUGCGAGGGGGAUCGGCCACACUGGGACUGAGACACGGCCCAGACUCCUACGGGAGGCAGCAGUAGGGAAUCUUCGGCAAUGGACGGAAGUCUGACCGAGCAACGCCGCGUGAGUGAAGAAGGUUUUCGGAUCGUAAAGCUCUGUUGUAAGAGAAGAACGAGUGUGAGAGUGGAAAGCUCACACUGUGACGGUAUCUUACCAGAAAGAGACGGCUAACUACGUG